GCAUCAGUGGAGGCCACGGCAGGUAGUUGGCAGCUCGGAGAACUCCGAGCUUGGUCACAGGUUCGAAUCCUGUCCUGAUGUC
rnacentral:tRNA from 1 species